rnacentral:rRNA from 1 species
CCUACGGGUGGCUGCAGUGGGGAAUAUUGGACAAUGGGGGGAACCCUGAUCCAGCCAUGCCGCGUGUGUGAAGAAGGCCCUCGGGUUGUAAAGCACUUUCAGUGAGGAAGAACGCCUGGUGGUUAAUACCCAUCAGGAAAGACAUCACUCACAGAAGAAGCACCGGGUAACUCCGUGCCAGCAGCCGCGGUAAUACGGAGGGUGCGAGCGUUAAUCGGAAUUACUGGGCGUAAAGCGCGCGUAGGUGGCUUGAUAAGCCGGUUGUGAAAGCCCCGGGCUCAACCUGGGAACGGCAUCCGGAACUGUCAAGCUAGAGUGCAGGAGAGGAAGGUAGAAUUCCCGGUGUAGCGGUGAAAUGCGUAGAGAUCGGGAGGAAUACCAGUGGCGAAGGCGGCCUUCUGGACUGACACUGACACUGAGGUGCGAAAGCGUGGGUAGCAAACAGGAUUAGAUACCCCUGUAGUC